rnacentral:rRNA from 1 species
AUUGAACGCUGGCGGCAUGCCUUACACAUGCAAGUCGAACGGUAACAGGUUAAGCUGACGAGUGGCGAACGGGUGAGUAAUGUAUCGGAACGUGCCCAGUCGUGGGGGAUAACUGCUCGAAAGAGCAGCUAAUACCGCAUACGACCUGAGGGUGAAAGCGGGGGAUCGCAAGACCUCGCGCGAUUGGAGCGGCCGAUAUCAGAUUAGGUAGUUGGUGGGGUAAAGGCCUACCAAGCCUACGAUCUGUAGCUGGUCUGAGAGGACGACCAGCCACACUGGGACUGAGACACGGCCCAGACUCCUACGGGAGGCAGCAGUGGGGAAUUUUGGACAAUGGACGCAAGUCUGAUCCAGCCAUGCCGCGUGCGGGAAGAAGGCCUUCGGGUUGUAAACCGCUUUUGUCAGGGAAGAAAAGGUUCUGGUUAAUACCUGGGACUCAUGACGGUACCUGAAGAAUAAGCACCGGCUAACUACGUGCCAGCCGCCGCCGUAACAC